UACGAAGGGGGCUAGCGUUGCUCGGAAUCACUGGGCGUAAAGCGCACGUAGGCGGAUUGCUAAGUCAGGGGUGAAAUCCUGGAGCUCAACUCCAGAACUGCCUUUGAUACUGGCAACCUUGAGUCCGGGAGAGGUGAGUGGAACUGCGAGUGUAGAGGUGAAAUUCGUAGAUAUUCGCAAGAACACCAGUGGCGAAGGCGGCUCACUGGCCCGAUACUGACGCUGAGGAGCGAAAGCUAGGGGAGCAAACGGG
rnacentral:rRNA from 1 species